GAGAGAGAGAGAGAGAGCCCACCUGCUUUGGUUACCAUUUCAACUCACUGUAUAUUCACGUAGCCUUCAUUAAAGGGAUUAAAACCUGACACCCCGGAAUGGCUACACGUUCCCUCUGCUUUUAUGUUCAAUCUCCUCAUUUAGCUGACGAGUUUUCCCCUUAUAGCCAUCACAAAGGUGAACAACCCCAGUUCCGGCGGCCUGACACAAAUUCACAGUGAAUUCAUGGGUGAGUGCUAUUUCUGGUUGUCAACUUUAUUUUUUUCUCCAAGUAGAAGUUCAGUGCCACCCAGAAUCAUCCUCCCGGCAUGGCGUCCGAAUGGCUCACAGUGUCUACCCGAACACCAGUUCCAGGGGGUCCAAUGUCAUCUUCCAGCCUCCGUCGGAACCAGGUAUUUAUGUGGUAUAGAUACACAUGCGGGCAAAACACGUAUACACAUGAAAUAUAAGUUCUUUAAAGAGAAGGGCUACUCUCUGUACCCUAAGGUGUCCAAUUGGCUUCCUCUCAGGCUUAUGCUCAGCUAGCUUCCUUAUUCAGCACAGGACCACCUGCGGGGGCGGGGGGGGCGGAUUUGGUGCUGCCUACAGUGGGCUGAACCUCCUAUAUCAAGACAAUCCCUCACAGACAUGCCGACGGGCCCCUGUCAAUGGAGACGCCAUCUCAGGCGACUCUAGACAGCGGCUCUCACCCUUCCUAAUGCUGCGACCCUUUGAUACAGUUCCUCGUGUUUGCUAGCUGCCAACCAUAAAAUUAUUCCGUUGUUACACAUAACUGUACUUUUGCUACUGUUACGAAUUGUAAUGUAAGUCUCUGAUUUGCAGAGUACUCGAUACUGGAGUGUGUAGGGGUGGCGACCCACAGGCUGAGAACCACCGCUCUACGAUUUGGUCAACUGGCAGUUGUAGCUUGUGGUCUUCAGUGUGUCUGUUCAUGGCCGAGGCCUCAGUGAAAGACAGAGUCUGAGUAGAAGUGAGAUCCUCUUUUCUAGCAGGGUCUUCGCCCGGGGGAUACCAAUGUCUUCACUCCACGGCCCACAGUAAAAAAGCAGACGUCUAACCCAUAUAACAAAACAGUCUCAGACAUUGUGGUGGGGCAAGAAAGCUUCCCCGUGGCCCCGUGUAAGCUCAGGUCCAAAGAUAACAUGAGAAGGUCUGCAGAGAGCUGUUCCUCUGACCCCGCCAUCAUCCUGUUUCUGUUUGGGUGGGUGUGGGUGCACGUGUAUAUGCGUGUGCUUGAGCGAGGAGGUCAGAGUUCAAUCUGGAGUAUUCUUCUUCCGACACCAAGUAGGCUAGGCUGGCCGGCGAGGCCCAGGGACCUGCCUGUCCCCACCUCUGCCGCACUGGAAUUACAGUCACCUGCCACAGUGACCCGCUUUCCCAAGGUCUCCCGUGGUUAGCACUUUGCAGACUGAGCCCUUGUCCCCAGAGUUGCCUCUUUUCUUCCCCAGCCUCGGAGAACCUGCUCCCAGAACAGUUUAUGCGUGAGUUCGCAACCCCGAUUCUUGACUUCGUUUCUCACGCUACGAAAGACUCCGUUUUGACAGUAGCAGAUGAGAUAAAUCCUGAGUUUUCAAAUUGUGUUUCCUGGAUCUGUCUAGAUAAGUUCCUAUUAAGUCCUCCGAGGAAAUGCUUUGGCUUAGUCCUGGGUAAUUUUGGUAGAGACUGACAUCAUUCAAAACCCAGAGGUCACUUGGGGCCACCUCCUUCUGCUUCUGUUAAGGCACCUCAGUCAAAGAAUCUGUGCCUUGCAGGUGUUUCUGAGGAAGAGUUUAAAGCGACAGUGAUCAUGAGCCAAUCCAGUGAAUGACCACCACCCCAUGCUAGGAAGGCAACCAGAGGGCAGGACAGCCCUGGACAAGCAUUUCCUGUGCUGAUCAUAGAGAGCCGGCCAUCUCUUGUGAAAUUCUACGCAAUGCCAUCUCGACGUUAUUUAUGUAUAUGAGUACUCUAUCUGUGUGUAUGCCUGCCGGCCAGAAGACAGCAUGAGAUCCCACUAUAGGUGGCUGUGGACCACCAUGUGGCUGCUGGGAAUUGAACUCAGGACCCUGGGAGAGCAGCCAGUGCUCUUUUUUUUUUUUUUUGGUUUUACGAGACAGGGUUUCUCUGUAUUGUUUUGGAGGCUGUUGGUCCAGCCUGGCCUCAAACUCACAGAGAUCCACCUGCCUCUACCUCCCGAGUGCUGGGAUUAAAGGCGUGCGCCACCAACGCCCGGGUGACUUAGUGACUUUGUCCACUGUUACGAAACGCUCAGACAAAAGCAACCUGCCCGUCACAGUAGCCCACUCGUGGAGUCGGCUGGGUGCCCAGCGGCGGCUGGAUUCCUAAGUACGGUGUGUCUCCACGGUGGAAGCAUAACUCAGUCCUACAGAAGCUGGGCUGGAGAAUGGAUGAACUGGUGACGAAAACACUGAGCGAGACAAGCCGUUCUCAGAAAGAUUAACACCGCACACGCUUCUUUCAUACACAGAACCUAGAUUUUAGAAACCAGACACAAAAACAGAAGCGGGGAGGAGGAGAGGAAGACGAGGGGCAUGGUGGGGCGUAAACAUGAUCAAUGUGUGUCAUAUGUAGGUGCCUCUUGUUUUGCGUGAUUAGUAUGUGUUCAUGAUUUUCUCUUUUGGUUUUCCAGAUGGGGUUUCUCUGUAGCUUGGGAGCAUGCUAAAAUUUUUAAAAGAAAGACUUACGGCCUGGCGAGAGGCUUCUGGGCGCCAGGACUGUUAUACUAGAGUAAGUAUAACUUAGCUUGUGUCUUGACUUCUGAUCCCUUGGCCCUGCCCACAUUCCUGCCACAGUGUCAUCAGCCAUGAGACCCUCACUAGCGUCAGGGUCGGUAGAGCCUCCUCCCCUCUUGGACUUUCAGCCUCCAGAUCUGCUGGCUAAAUAAAUCUUGGUUCUCUCUGCGUAA